rnacentral:rRNA from 1 species
UGGGGAAUAUUGCGCAAUGGGCGGAAGCCUGACGCAGCGACGCCGCGUGGGGGAUGAAGGCCUUCGGGUUGUAAACCUCUUUCAGCAGGGACGAAGUUGACGUGUACCUGCAGAAGAAGCGCCGGCCAACUACGUG